GCACGCAUAGUUCAGUCGGCUAGAACGCUGCCUUCACACGGCAGAGGUCACAGGUUCGAGUCCUGUUGCGUGCACCA
rnacentral:tRNA from 1 species